UGGGGAAUUUUGGACAAUGGGCGAAAGCCUGAUCCAGCAAUGCCGCGUGUGUGAAGAAGGCCUUCGGGUUGUAAAGCACUUUUGUCCGGAAAGAAAUCCUUGGCUCUAAUACAGUCGGGGGAUGACGGUACCGGAAGAAUAAGCACCGGCUAACUACGUGCCAGCAGCCGCGGUAAUACGUAGGGUGCAAGCGUUAAUCGGAAUUACUGGGCGUAAAGCGUGCGCAGGCGGUUUGCUAAGACCGAUGUGAAAUCCCCGGGCUCAACCUGGGAACUGCAUUGGUGACUGGCAGGCUAGAGUAUGGCAGGAGGGGGGUAGAAUUCCACGCGUAGCAGUGAAAUGCGUAGAGAUGUGGAGGAAUACCGAUGGCGAAGGCAGCCCCCUGGGCCAAAUACUGACGCUCAUGCACGAAAGCGUGGGGAGCAAAACAGGAUUAGAUACCCUGGUAGUCCACGCCCUAAACGAUGUCAACUAGUUGUUGGGGAUUCAUUUCCUCAGUAACGUAGCUAACGCGUGAAGUUGACCGCCUGGGGAGUACGGUCGCAAGAUUAAAACUUAAAUGAAUUGACGGGGUCAUAGCUGUUUCC
rnacentral:rRNA from 1 species